rnacentral:rRNA from 1 species
GACGAACGCUGGCGGCGUGCUUAACACAUGCAAGUCGAACGAUGAAGCCUAGCUUGCUAGGUGGAUUAGUGGCGAACGGGUGAGUAAUACGUGAGUAACCUACCUUUAACUCUGGGAUAAGCCUGGGAAACUGGGUCUAAUACCGGAUACGACCAAUCUCCGCAUGGGGUGUUGGUGGAAAGCGUUAUGUAGUGGUUAUAGAUGGGCUCACGGCCUAUCAGCUUGUUGGUGAGGUAACGGCUCACCAAGGCGACGACGGGUAGCCGGCCUGAGAGGGUGACCGGCCACACUGGGACUGAGACACAGCCCAGACUCCUACGGGAGGCAGCAGUGGGGAAUAUUGCACAAUGGGCGCAAGCCUGAUGCAGCGACGCCGCGUGAGGGAUGACGGCCUUCGGGUUGUAAACCUCUGUUAGCAGGGAAGAAGAGAAAUUGACGGUACCUGCAGAGAAAGCGCCGGCUAACUACGUGCCAGCAGCCGCGGUAAUACGUAGGGCGCGAGCGUUGUCCGGAAUUAUUGGGCGUAAAGAGCUUGUAGGCGGUUUGUCGCGUCUGCUGUGAAGGCCGGGGCUUAACCCCGUGUAUUGCAGUGGGUACGGGCAGACUAGAGUGCAGUAGGGGAGACUGGAACUCCUGGUGUAGCGGUGGAAUGCGCAGAUAUCAGGAAGAACACCGAUGGCGAAGGCAGGUCUCUGGGCUGUAACUGACGCUGAGAAGCGAAAGCAUGGGGAGCGAACAGGAUUAGAUACCCUGGUAGUCCAUGCCGUAAACGUUGGGCACUAGGUGUGGGGGACAUUCCACGUUUUCCGCGCCGUAGCUAACGCAUUAAGUGCCCCGCCUGGGGAGUACGGCCGCAAGGCUAAAACUCAAAGAAAUUGACGGGGGCCCGCACAAGCGGCGGAGCAUGCGGAUUAAUUCGAUGCAACGCGAAGAACCUUACCAAGGCUUGACAUAUACUGGACCGCAUCAGAGAUGGUGUUUCCCUUCGGGGCUGGUAUACAGGUGGUGCAUGGUUGUCGUCAGCUCGUGUCGUGAGAUGUUGGGUUAAGUCCCGCAACGAGCGCAACCCUCGUUCUAUGUUGCCAGCACGUUAUGGUGGGGACUCAUAGGAGACUGCCGGGGUCAACUCGGAGGAAGGUGGGGAUGACGUCAAAUCAUCAUGCCCCUUAUGUCUUGGGCUUCACGCAUGCUACAAUGGCCGGUACAGAGGGUUGCGAUACUGUGAGGUGGAGCUAAUCCCUAAAAGCCGGUCUCAGUUCGGAUUGGGGUCUGCAACUCGACCCCAUGAAGUCGGAGUCGCUAGUAAUCGUAGAUCAGCAACGCUGCGGUGAAUACGUUCCCGGGCCU